GCAAGUCGAGCGGGGAAAGGUAGCUUGCUACCUGACCUAGCGGCGGACGGGUGAGUAAUGCUUAGGAAUCUGCCUAUUAGUGGGGGACAACGUUCCGAAAGGAACGCUAAUACCGCAUACGCCCUACGGGGGAAAGCAGGGGAUCUUCGGACCUUGCGCUAAUAGAUGAGCCUAAGUCGGAUUAGCUAGUUGGUGGGGUAAAGGCCUACCAAGGCGACGAUCCGUAGCUGGUCUGAGAGGACGAUC
rnacentral:rRNA from 1 species